UGCCUAGGGAUCUGCCCAGUCGAGGGGGAUAACAGUUGGAAACGACUGCUAAUACCGCAUACGCCCUACGGGGGAAAGGAGGGGACCUUCGGGCCUUCCGCGAUUGGAUGAACCUAGGUGGGAUUAGCUAGUUGGUGAGGUAAUGGCUCACCAAGGCGACGAUCCCUAGCUGUUCUGAGAGGAUGAUCAGCCACACUGGGACUGAGACACGGCCCAGACUCCUACGGGAGGCAGCAGUGGGGAAUAUUGCACAAUGGGGGAAACCCUGAUGCAGCCAUGCCGCGUGUGUGAAGAAGGCCUUCGGGUUGUAAAGCACUUUCAGUAGGGAGGAAAGGUAGCAGCUUAAUACGCUGUUGCUGU
rnacentral:rRNA from 1 species